UUAGAGUAACCCAAUGCAUGCAGUAAAUUUAGGAAAUGCAGGGGUUAAAAGGGAUGGAGAUUGGCGGUCAGAGGUUAAGAGAGUUUAACUCCAGCAACUAAUUGGGGGCUGGAGCUCAAGAUGGCGAUGGGGAGAUAUAAUUCCGUGGAGUGGCGUCUCCAGGUGGAAAUAAGAAGCCAAGAGUUUACAGAAUUUUCUUCUUCCCUGAUAGAGAACGCCUGCCUCCCACUGUCUGUGCAGCAGCUGUUAUGAUUAAGCAGCAUUGGCUUCCGACUCCUUUUGGUGCAGUAGAAUAAGCUAUCCUAUUGCUUCCUUGCUGUGCUGCCCCAAGAGGGAUUUGUACAUCAUCUGCCUGACACAGAAGCAUUCCAGGAUUGUUAGCAUAAUGCUGGGACCUAUCGCAAGAGGUUGAUAUCCAGGUGACUUACCAGAUUCGGAAACUGGGAACAACCCAACUCAACAGCCAUUUUUAAGUCUCCUUUUAAAAGCUGGUUUAUCUCCUUUCUGGCUAUGGGAAGCAGCUCAUCUCAUCUAAUCUAUGCAAUGGAAAUGCCUAGGAGAGGAGGUUCCUUACAUACCCCAUGUGUGGAAAGAAAAACCAGCUUUCCUGCUGAUAGGCACAACUAAGUUUAUAGCAACAGACCUGGAAAAUGCCCAAAGAAGCCUGAAUGGGCACUCCAUAACAAUAGAUAUAUGGUUAGCCCCACAAUGAUUAUCUUUUAAUGCAGUAGACUUCAAUAGGAACCUAGAAGGAGAAACUUCCACUUUGGGAAUUGUUGGCCAUAAAACUAGAUGGAAAUGGACUUGGGUAGCCUUCAUCAACCAUGAUGCCUGCUUUUUUUCUCAUGCCUUUCGUGUGGACCACUGCAGAUGCUGACAAGACCAAUCAGCAUUUCAACUACAAGCGCACCAUAUAUUGUAUUCCACCUCCAGUGAAUACAGUCAACUUAUCUAUGCAGUGGACUGGGCGUAGCACUUGUGAGGUUUGGAUAAUGGGGAUGAAUGUAAUCCUUAUUUACAUUUACAUUUUUUUCUGAAAGAGUUUCCCGCUCCAUAGAACAGAGGGACCAGACAUAGAACAUGGUAAACGUGACAUAGAACAUGUUAAACUAAAUAGUCGAUGUUACACCACGAUCACCUAUUGAGUUAGAAGGAUACACAACCAAUGGAGUGAAUCCCUUUGUUGAGAGUUCCUGAAUAUAUCACGACCCUGUCUUGCUUGAUGCAUCUUAUUGCUCACUCACAAGAAUGAUUCAUGAAGAUGUAAAUGUCUGGAUGUUUACUCUUUUUUUUCCUGAUAUGGGUGACACUUAUUAUGUGUAUCGCAAGUCUCCCCACAUCACAAGCAAUUGGGUUGAUUUUAAAGUCUGCUCUGAUACAAGGCAGACAAACUCUGAAGGAUAGUUCAUCUUAGAUGUGUGGGCCUGCAGUUUAUAAAGUGUUACUUCAUACAUGGUAUGGUGUGUGUACUCUGGGGACUUUUAUUUCCAGGAUUACGGGUAUAUGCAUAUACAUAUGCAUAUGCUCAGCUUUUAGGAUGACAUCCCAACUUCCAUUAUUGCAUUAAGGGAAAUACCUCUUCCAUUCUGUGUUGUGUUGGUAUUUGCCUAGUUUAGGGUUGCUGAAUUAGCACUUGUCCUUCUCCAUAUUUCUGCAUCAUUUCAAAUCUAUCACCAUGUUAUAGCCAGUGCCACUAGGAUUCAAUUGCAUUCAAUGCAUUAGGAUUUAAUGCACUAGGAUUUAAAUGCAUUUAAUUGCAUUAAAUGGAAAUACCCCUUUCAUUCUGUGUUGUGUUGGUAUUUGCCUAGUUUAGGGUUGCUGAAUUAGCACUUGUCCUUCUCGAUAUUUCUGCAUCAUUUCAAAUCUAUUCCCAUGUUAUAGCCAGUGCCACUAGGAUUUCAUUGCAUUAAAUGCUUAAGGAUUUAAUGCACUAGGAUUUAAAUGCAUUUAAUUGCAUUAAAUGGAAACACCCCUUCCAUUCUGUGUUGUGUUGGUAUUUGCCUAGUUUAGGGUUGCUGAAUUAGCACUUGUCCUUCUCCAUAUUUCUGCAUCAUUCCAAAUCUAUCCCCAUGUUAUAGCCAGUGCCACUAGAAGACUACAAACUGAAGUUUAGUUCCAUACCCCAUGUGUGGAAAGAAAACCCAGUUGGGCGGAUAGGCACAACUAAGUGUUAUAGGAACAGACCUGGAAAAUGUCCAAAGAAUGGGCACUCCAUAACAAUAGAUAUAUGGUUAGCCCCACAAUGAUUAUCUUUUAAUCCAGUAAACUUCAAUGGGAACCUAUAUGGAGAAAUUUCCCCUUUGGGAAUAGUUGGCCAUAACACUGAAAAGUAUAUGGAAAUGGACUAGUAGCCUUCAUCAACCACAACGCCUACUUUUUUUUCCUCAUGCCUUUCUUGUGGAUCACCACGGAUGCUGAAAAGACCGAUCAGCAUUUUAACUACAUGUUUACCAUCGCCGCACUGCCAUGUAUGUAUUCAACCUCCAGUGAAUACUUGCAGAAAACUGAGGGUGAGUUGCAUGGCCAGAAAAAUGGCUGUGGGUGCCACUUCUGGAACACAUGCCAUAGGUUCGCAUCACGGACCUAUUGAGUUAGAAGGAUACACAUCCUAUGGAGUGCCUCCCUUUUUUGAGAGUUCCUUAAUAUUUAACGACCCUGCCUUUCUUCAUGCAUCUUAUUGCUCACUCACUGGAAUGACUUACGAAGAUGUAAAUGUCUGGAUGUUUACUCUUUUUUUCUUGAUAUGGGUGACACUUACUAUGUGUACUGCAAGUCUCCCCAGAUCACAAGCAAUUGGGUUGAUUUUUAAAGUCUGCUACGCUGCAAGGCAGACAAACUCUGAAGGAUAGUUCAUCUUAGAUGUGUGGGCCUGCUGUUUAUAAAGUGUUACUUCAUACAUGGUAUGGUAUCUGUACUCUCGAGUUUUUCCCCUUGUAUUUUCAUUGAUGUGUUAACUGUAAGAGGGACUGAAAGUCGAUGAUCUGGGUUCCCACUUUGAAUGAGAGAAA